AAGUCGUAACAAGGUUUCCGUAGGUGAACCUGCGGAAGGAUCAUUAUAGUACAACGGAGGUGCCUGGGCUGUUGCUGACCUCAAGGUCGUGCACGCCCGGAGUGCUCUCUCACAUCCAUCUCACCCCUUUGUGCAUCAUCGCGUGGGGCCCUCUCCUUUGGCUUGUUCCGGAAGGGGGGGGGUUCACGUUUUUACACGAACAACCCAUUAAUGCAUGUGUAGAAUGUCUUACUUUUUGCGGUCACACGCAAUCAAUACAACUUUCAACAACGGAUCUCUUGGCUCUC
rnacentral:misc_RNA from 1 species